rnacentral:lncRNA from 1 species
AAACCACAAAGGCGUCAUCUGGAAGUUUGUCCAAGCUCACAUCAUCAGCACCCAUCAAAUAUACAAACUUCGCAGAAUCAAUGCAUUUUUCAGAUUCAGGCACAAGUCCAAGAUCAAGAGCGGCAGCUUGGGCAGCAUUCAGCAGCAACACUAAACUUCGCUGAAUCAAUGCAUUUUUCAGAUUCAGGCACAAGUCCAAGAUCAAGAGCGGCAGCUUGGGCAGCAUUCAGCAGCAACACAUUUAGUCCAUUCCAAUCAGAUCUCACAACAUUAUUGUUCUUCGCAAUAGUGUCAAUAGCAGCAAAAACAGC